rnacentral:rRNA from 1 species
ACACUCCUGCGGGAGGCAGCAGUGGGGAAUAUUGCACAAUGGGCGCAAGCCUGAUGCAGCCAUGCCGCGUGUAUGAAGAAGGCCUUCGGGUUGUAAAGUACUUUCAGCGGGGAGGAAGGUGUUGAGGUUAAUAACCUCAGCAAUUGACGUUACCCGCAGAAGAAGCACCGGCUAACUCCGUGCCAGCAGCCGCGGUAAUACGGAGGGUGCAAGCGUUAAUCGGAAUUACUGGGCGUAAAGCGCACGCAGGCGGUCUGUCAAGUCGGAUGUGAAAUCCCCGGGCUCAACCUGGGAACUGCAUUCGAAACUGGCAGUCUAGAGUCUUGUAGAGGGGGGUAGAAUUCCAGGUGUAGCGGUGAAAUGCGUAGAGAUCUGGAGGAAUACCGGUGGCGAAGGCGGCCCCCUGGACAAAGACUGACGCUCAGGUGCGAAAGCGUGGGGAGCAAACAGGAUUAGAAACCCGAGUAGUCCC